AACCCCUGACUAAUGGGCAAAGAGACACCUCAUUGGUGGUGUUGUCCUUCUAUCAGUGAGGGGCAGAGCAGUUGGCAGUCCUUUGUUUAUCCUAGCUUGAUUCCUGGUUUGGUGACCAAAGCUUUUUUAUGCCUAGGACUCAUAA